rnacentral:rRNA from 1 species
CCUACGGGUGGCUGCAGUGAGGAAUAUUGCUCAAUGGGCGCGAGCCUGACCCAGCCACGUAGCGUGAAGGAUGACUGCCCUACGGGUUGUAAACUUCUUUUAUAAAGGAAUAAAGUGAGGCACGUGUUCCGUUUUGUAUGUACUUUAUGAAUAAAGCUCGGCUAACUCCGUGCCAGCAGCCGCGGUAAUACGGAGGAUCCGAGCGUUAUCCGGAUUUAUUGGGUUUAAAGGGAGCGUAGAUGGGUUGUUAAGUCAGUUGUGAAAGUUUGCGGCUCAACCGUAAAAUUGCAAUUGAUACUGGCAGUCUUGAGUACAGUUGAGGUAGGCGGAAUUCGUGGUGUAGCGGUGAAAUGCUUAGAUAUCACGAAGAACUCCGAUGGCGAAGGCAGCUUACUAAACUGCCACUGACAUUGAUGCUCGAAAGUGUGGGUAUCAAACAGGAUUAGAUACCCGGGUAGUC